rnacentral:rRNA from 1 species
CCCUUAGAGUUUGAUCCUGGCUCAGGAUGAACGCUGGCGGCGUGCUUAACACAUGCAAGUCGAGCGAAGCGCUUAAGUUUGAUUCUUCGGAUGAAGACUUUUGUGACUGAGCGGCGGACGGGUGAGUAACGCGUGGGUAACCUGCCUCAUACAGGGGGAUAACAGUUAGAAAUGACUGCUAAUACCGCAUAAGACCACGGUACCGCAUGGUACAGUGGUAAAAACUCCGGUGGUAUGAGAUGGACCCGCGUCUGAUUAGGUAGUUGGUGGGGUAACGGCCUACCAAGCCGACGAUCAGUAGCCGACCUGAGAGGGUGACCGGCCACAUUGGGACUGAGACACGGCCCAGACUCCUACGGGAGGCAGCAGUGGGGAAUAUUGCACAAUGGAGGAAACUCUGAUGCAGCGACGCCGCGUGAAGGAUGAAGUAUUUCGGUAUGUAAACUUCUAUCAGCAGGGAAGA